UUCCCUUUCAAACCCUAAAAUCUUUUUAACCUUAAAAUUCCCUUUCAAACCCUAUUACGCCGUCACUUCAUCUUCACUCUCGAACCCAGCAGCUUCCUUCGGCGUCAAUCGUCAUCUUCAUCACUGGAACCCAGCCUCAUCUUCAGCUUCUGGAACCUAGCCUUCUGGAAUCCAACCCUUCAUCGCACCCAGAAAACCCUAACCUCCAUCACACCGCCAUCUAUCUCACUGGUUUGUCGUUGUGUUAGCCAGCUCGCCAUUCCUCUUGCUGUCCUUCUCGCGGUUCUGGUCGUCGUGCUGCUCGCCUCUCUCUGUUGUGGUUCUGCUCGCCUCUCCCUGCUCGCCUCAUCCCCUCCACCGUUGCAGUCCCUGUCUCACCCAUUCCUUCCCUCGCAGUCACACCGGCCGUCGCCCGUAGUCCUACGCGGAACUCACCCGUCACUCGAAGUCGCACUCCGAAGCCGUCGCCCGUUGUCCUCCUCGGAACUCACCCGUCGCCCGUCGUCCUCCGUGGAUCUUGCAGCCGCUAUCGUCCUCCGCGGUACAAUGCAAUAAACAGUUGACAACAGCAUUAAUGUUGGCAUUCAGUGAACAUCUUCGAGAUAACUAUAGUCUUGCUACUAAAAUAGAAAAAUAGCAAAUUAGAGAUUAGAGAUGUUGAGGUUGAUAGUGAGGCCAC